rnacentral:rRNA from 1 species
UGGUGUGACUGCGUACCUUUUGUAUAAUGGGUCAGCGACUUAUAUUCUGUAGCAAGGUUAACCGUAUAGGGGAGCCGUAGGGAAACCGAGUCUUAACUGGGCGAAUAAGUUGCAGGGUAUAGACCCGAAACCCGGUGAUCUAGCCAUGGGCAGGUUGAAGGUUGGGUAACACUAACUGGAGGACCGAACCGACUAAUGUUGAAAAAUUAGCGGAUGAC